UUUCCAGUCCUGUGGCCACGGCUGAGUUUUCCAAAUUUCUGAAUUUGCUUUCUCUGCAUAUAUGUGUAUAUAUAUGUAUAUAAAAUUAUUUAUGAUACAUUUAUAUAUAUGAAUACUUGAGAACUAUUGCAUGCAUGAUACUUUUUGUCUAGAAAUAGCUUUCCUGCUUAGCAUGAACUUCUGUUUUUUUUUUUUCCCUUUGGCGUUGUAGUGAGCCAAGCAUGGAUAGUAACAGAGCCCAAAAUAAAGUCAUCUUCCUCCAGCUUCUGCCCAGUCUCUGAAAAUGUGAUCUGGGAAAGGCAUAAUGACUUUAUGCCUUCUUUCACUCAGUUAUUCCAAGGUUUAUUGCUUGCUAAGCCUUAUGAGGAAACAAAGAUAUAUUCAUGGGUCUUUUGCCUACAAGGAGUUUACAGUUCUGCAGGUUAUAAACAUGUCAUCAAUUCCAUGUCACUUUAUUCUUUUUUUUCUCUGUGUAGAUUAUGGUUUUAUUACAUACCUUAUUAUCACCUUUACCCUCAAAUAAAAACCCCUCCAUUCCUAACACUUAAAUAUAUACUUAGUGAAGGUGAAGCAAGGGUGUGAUUUUACUGAGGGGCCAUUGAAGAUUUUUUUACAUAUUUAUUUAUGAUGUUUCUUAUACAUAAAAAAUAGUAAGAUAGAGAGGACAGUUUCCUGCUUGGUUGCUCAUUUGUGUCCGACUCUUUAUGACCCCAUGGACUGUAGCCAGCCAAGCUCUUCUGUUCCUGGCAUUCUCCAGGCACAAAUACUGGAGUAAGUUGCUGUUCCCUUCUCCAAGAGGAUAGCUUAGACAUAUUAAAGAAAAAUGAAUACCAUAGGUAUUAUACUUGUUGGCCUAAAGAUUCUAGUUUAUCAGGCAUCAGUUAUACUUACCCACUUUAAAAAAACUUCCAUUUAAUAAAACUUCAAACUUUAAGCCCAGAAUUCUAAGCAGAAGAAAGUACUCUAGCAGGUAUUUGUUCCUGGUAUUCUAGUUGUGAAAUUGUUGGUUUUUAUUCUACUCAUAUAUUUAUAUAGCUAUUUUUAGUAUAGAGUCAUGCUGCUGCUGCUGCUGCUAAAUCGCUUCAGUUGUGUCCAACUCUGUGCG
rnacentral:lncRNA from 1 species